UAUCCCAAGUUGUAUAAACUUCUAACUCAAUAUAAAAGACUGUAAAAAAAACCGGCAGUUAGACGGCACCUACGCACUUCUAAAAAUAUCUCUACGAACCAAAACAAAAAACAACAACAAAAAUGGCAAUGACUUUAAAAAUUGCAUUCUCGGUCGUUUGCAUGUAUCCAAAGACUACUUAAGUAUGCAAAUCAGAUGCAAUAAUAAUGCACGAGCAAAAGUGAAUGAAUGUUUGGAAGGCUAGGAAUAAAUUUGAUUACUGAUACUGACUUUAUACCCUCUAUCCUGUAUUUUGAUUAUAAAAACAAA